CCUACGGGCGGCAGCAGUGGGGAAUAUUGCACAAUGGGCGCAAGCCUGAUGCAGCCAUGCCGCGUGUGUGAAGAAGGCCUUCGGGUUGUAAAGCACUUUCAGCGGGGAGGAAGGCGUUAAGGUUAAUAACCUUGUCGAUUGACGUUACCCGCAGAAGAAGCACCGGCUAACUCCGUGCCAGCAGCCGCGGUAAUACGGAGGGUGCAAGCGUUAAUCGGAAUUACUGGGCGUAAAGCGCACGCAGGCGGUCUGUCAAGUCGGAUGUGAAAUCCCCGGGCUCAACCUGGGAACUGCAUUCGAAACUGGCAGGCUAGAGUCUUGUAGAGGGGGGUAGAAUUCCCGGUGUAGCGGUGAAAUGCGUAGAGAUCUGGAGGAAUACCGGUGGCGAAGGCGGCCCCCUGGACAAAGACUGACGCUCAGGUGCGAAAGCGUGGGGAGCAAACAGGAUUAGAUACCCUUGUAGUC
rnacentral:rRNA from 1 species